UCAACUGCCAAGCACUCAGGCAGAGAAAGCCAUUUUGUGUUUCAGCUGCCAAUUUUGUUUUCUGGCAGCCAUUUUAUGUUCUGGUGGCCAUUUUGUGUUCCAGCAACCAUUUUGUGAGGCUUAUGACUGUCUGUGGAGAACGUUCCAGAACCUUUUCUGAGGCCUCAGUUUAACAGAGGCCUCUCUUUCUCUCCUGAGGCUCCAGAGUCAGAAGGAGGCCAGGCUCCUUGGGCCAAAAGGAAGGAACCCUGUGGACCUCCUCCUCCUUCGCACUCAGAGCAACCCUUCUCUACGGCUGAGGAGACGGCCUCUGACCCAGGGAGGCUCCGGCCAUAAAAGACUGCAGAAAAGACCUUCCUAGGGCUGCAGGAAUCAGGGUCUUUGUAUUGAAGGAACUUCAUCUCAGCCUCCUUGUACACGGCUUUGGGGCCUCUCUUGCUGGAAGUGACCA